rfam:Triticum aestivum genome assembly, contig: Triticum_aestivum_CS42_TGACv1_scaffold_146468_2BS
CAUGUACUCCUUCCGUCCGAAAAUACUUGUCAUCAAAAUGGAUGAAAAAAGAUAUAUCUAUAACUAAAAUACAUCUAGAUACAUUCCCUCUUAUUCAGUUUGAUGACAAGUAUUUUCGCACGGAGGGAAUAUGUC